UCAAACUUGGUCAUUUAGAGGAAGUAAAAGUCGUAACAAGGUCUCCGUAGGUGAACCUGCGGAGGGAUCAUUUCUGAAUCGAGUCCGGUGUGCCCUUUGGUGAGAUGGCCUAACGGCAGCUUACCAAUUGGCCCCAGGCUUGCCUUCUUUCAAACCUGUGGGCAGAGAUGUGGAUCGGCGACCCUCUUUUGGGGGCGCCACUUCAAUGCAGCCAAGCCUUUUGUGUCUGAGUUGAUAUAACAACUUUAAAACUUUCAACAACGGAUCUCUUGGCUCUUGCAUCGAUGAAGAACGCAGC
rnacentral:misc_RNA from 1 species